UAUGGUGUAAUUUAUUGGUAGAAUAGGUGUUUUGCAGGCAUAAGGUACUGGGUUUGAUUCCUAGCACUUCAG
rnacentral:tRNA from 1 species